UACGUAGGGUGCAAGCGUUGUCCGGAAUUAUUGGGCGUAAAGAGCUCGUAGGCGGUUUGUCGCGUCGGCUGUGAAAUCCCGAGGCUCAACCUCGGGCCUGCAGUCGAUACGGGCAAACUAGAGUGUGGUAGGGGAGACUGGAAUUCCUGGUGUAGCGGUGAAAUGCGCAGAUAUCAGGAGGAACACCGGCGGCGAAGGCGGGUCUCUGGGCCAUAACUGACGCUGAGGAGCGAAAGCGUGGAGAGCGAACAGG
rnacentral:rRNA from 1 species